UCCUCCCUCUUGCUUCGUGCUUAACACAUGCAAGUCGAACGGAAAGGCCCUGCUUUUGUGGGGUGCUCGAGUGGCGAACGGGUGAGUAACACGUGAGUAACAUGCCCUUGACUUUGGGAUAACUUCAGGAAACUGGGGCUAAUACCGGAUAGGAGCUCCUGCUGCAUGGUGGGGGUUGGAAAGUUUCGGCGGUUGGGGAUGGACUCGCGGCUUAUCAGCUUGUUGGUGGGGUAGUGGCUUACCAAGGCUUUGACGGGUAGCCGGCCUGAGAGGGUGACCGGCCACAUUGGGACUGAGAUACGGCCCAGACUCCUACGGGAGGCAGCAGUGGGGAAUAUUGCACAAUGGGCGGAAGCCUGAUGCAGCAACGCCGCGUGCGGGAUGACGGCCUUCGGGUUGUAAACCGCUUUCGCCUGUGACGAAGCGUGAGUGACGGUAAUGGGUAAAGAAGCACCGGCUAACUACGUG
rnacentral:rRNA from 1 species